rnacentral:snoRNA from 1 species
AAGACUAUACUUUCAGGGACCAUUCCUGUAAUUUGUUACCAGAGGAAUUUCUCAGAACAUGUGGAACCCAGAAGAAUCCACAGAAAUCAAGUCUCAUGAUUUCGGGGGA